GGUAAGAUGGCUGAAAGUUAAGCGGUGGACUGUAACCCCAUGUAUAGAGGUUCAAAUCCUCUUCUUAUCA
rnacentral:tRNA from 1 species